UGCCAGCAGCCGCGGUAAUACGUAGGGUGCAAGCGUUGUUCGGAAUCAUUGGGCGUAAAGCGCGUGUAGGUUGUUAUGCAAGUUGGAUGUGAAAUCCCUGGGCUUAACCGAGGAAGUGCAUCCAAAACUACAUGGCUAGAGGACGGUAGAGGAAGGUGGAAUUCCUAGUGUAGAGGUGAAAUUCGUAGAUAUUAGGAGGAAUACCUGUGGCGAAGGCGGCCUUCUGGGCCGUUCCUGACACUGAGACGCGAAAGCGUGGGGAGCAAACAGGAUUAGAUA
rnacentral:rRNA from 1 species